GAUUGCGAAGGCAGCUUACUAGACUAUAACUGACGCUGAUGCACGAAAGCGUGGGUAGCGAACAGGAUUAGAUACCCUGGUAGUCCACGCCAUAAACGAUGAUCACUCGUUGUGUGCGAUAUAUUGUACGUGACUGAGCGAAAGCAUUAAGUGAUCCACCUGGGGAGUACGUUCGCAAGAAUGAAACUCAAAGGAAUUGACGGGGGCCCGCACAAGCGGAGGAACAUGUGGUUUAAUUCGAUGAUACGCGAGGAACCUUACCUGGACUUAAAUGUAGCAUGACCGUACCAGAAAUGGUAUUUCUCUUCGGAGCAGGUUACAAGGUGCUGCAUGGCUGUCGUCAGCUCGUGCCGUGAGGUGUCGGGUUAAGUCCCAUAACGAGCGCAACCCCUAUCGUUAGUUGCUAACAGGUUAAGCUGAGGACUCUAGCGAGACUGCCACCGUAAGGUGAGAGGAAGGUGGGGAUGACGUCAAGUCAGCACGGCCCUUACGUCCAGGGCUACACACGUGUUACAAUGGUCAGUACAGAGGGCUGCUACCUAGUGAUAGGAUGCUAAUCUCGAAAGCUGAUCUCAGUUCGGAUCGAAGUCUGCAACUCGACUUCGUGAAGUUGGAUUCGCUAGUAAUCGCGUAUCAGCAACGACGCGGUGAAUACGUUCCCGGGCCUUGUACACACCGCCCGUCAAGCCAUGGAAGCUGGGGGUACCUGAAGUCCGUAACCGCAAGGAUCGGCUAAGGAAAAAGCGGUGACUGGGGCUAAGUCG
rnacentral:rRNA from 1 species